CCCCCACCUCCCGCCAGAGCAAGUCCUCGCGGACCUUUCGGGUGUUCGAGAAGUCUGAAAGCGAGUGGCUGUACACUUGUAAAGGUUUCAGUGUUGACUUAUGUUGUGUGACUUUUACCGCCCAAUCCUCUGGCCUCCCUAGCCGUGGAAACAUGGAGCACGCAAAUGAGGACGUCUAGAAGGGCAUCUGCCCGGCGCGGACGGGAAUCACAGUGAGUGUCUCACGGGUCACGGGCUUGGCCAAAUACUCCGCGCACACUCAUCUCUUGCACUGCCCGAUGAACCUGAACGGCCCCCACUCUGCAGGGCGGAAGACUCAGAGGUAAGGCCAUGGACCCCGCCUCCCCCCAGCAGGGGACCCCGAAGCUUUGGGAAUGCGCACGAACAGAAGAUGCUGCCUGAAACCCCCGCUCCUGGAAUAUAACAGCAAGCUUCCCUGUACCCUGGAACUUAGGGGGUCACCGGGCGUCUUUGAGGCUGCCAGUUCUGGGUCUCCUCUUGCAGGGUCAGGGAAGUCUCAGCCAAGCCCAGAAGCCAACGACUCUUAGGUGGCUGCAUCCUGCAGGCCCGAAGGGAUACGGAGAACCCAGUCCCACUCCGUUAGUAUUUAAUGGGAAAGCCAUUGAGCUAGCAGCAUCCCUUCCCCGCCGAAGUGUCAUACACCAAGUCCACCAAGUCCACCAGAAAAGCUGGAUGCAAGACCCCCUCAGUGCCAUCCACAUCCAGAUUUCACUUCAACAGUCAAGCGCCCACGGCCCCCAGGGCCUCAGGGACAGACCUGUCCCGUUUCAGGCUGUUUCAAUGUACUUGCCCAGCGCUGUCAUCAAACUGGCAUUUAUUUUAGACUUUCCUGCUUUCGGUUUGUCUUCUUACACCUUUUUUGCUUUUCUGAUGACCAAUGCAUGCAAAGCUGAGACCAGGGGGAGAGGUCAGAAGUCCCUGGGUGGGAAUCAGGUGACAUCCCUGCUCUGGAGACUCACCUACCUCUCUGGCUUAGAAGAAAGAGAUUCGCUGUAGGUCCUAGGCAGCUCAGGGGAUUCCCACCUGCAUUCCUUCCUGCCAAAUGGAAAGCAAAACUCAUACAACACUCCAGCCAGCAGCCACCAAGACCCUCCCACUUCCUGAGAUCUCUGUAGCCUGGAGGUGGGAGGUGAGAACAUGGCUACCUUUCCUGUAAGCCUCAGGAUGAUGACUGUUCUGACCUGAGGAAUCCUGAAGAGGGCUGUGGGCCUGAGUGAAGUUGGAGCAAAUGCCCUGGUGAAGGCCAGCCCUGUUGACUUGGCUGGGAGGCCCUAUCCACCAGGGAGAAGACAACUGCCAGUGCCUCACACUGCCUGAGCUUCCUCCAGGCAGGUAGCUGACCCCUGGACAGCUUGACCUCUGCAUCGAUGGCCCAGAUUCCCCGCACCAGCAAGCUGUGAAUGGGAGGUCUUUUUCUGAACUCCGUGUGGAAGCUUUCCUGACCCUGUAAUUCUUGGAUUCUGCAUCCACCUAAAACCAGUGGGAGCCCGACUGGUGGAGCUGUUGAAGCUGAAUACACGUGCAGGGCUGUGGCAUGGCCCAGGCAUGGCUGAACUGAGAUGCCUGCAGGGGCAAGAUAGGCCACAGCUAAGGCCACCUGGAAACUUUCUUCUAGGAAUUUCUUAAUUAGUGUCAUGUUUUGCUUGGAGAGGUCCUUGAACUCCUCCCAAGGUUCUGCUCAGGUUUCCUGCAUUUUCCACUCUAACCCCUUUCUUUGAAUAAAUAUGGGCUGCCCAGAGGCACUAUCUGUCUCAGCCACCAGAGUUACAAACUCUGCAGAGGGUUUUGGUCCUUCUGGAGCCCUAAAGAUCA